UGAACAGAAUGAUAGCGGCUGACGGGUGAGUAACGCGUGGAAAACUUGCCCUAUACAGGGGGAUAGCCUCGGGAAACUGGGAUUAAUACCCCAUAAAACUCUAGUAUCUCAUGAUACAUGGGUCAAAGCCUAAGCGGUAUAGGAUGGUUCCGCGUCCCAUUAGCUAGUUGGUAAGUGUAACGGCUUACCAAUGCUACGAUGGGUAUGCCGGCCUGAGAGGGUGAACGGCCACACUGGAACUGAGACACGGUCCAGACUCCUACGGGAGUGCAGCAGUGGGGAAUAUUUGCACAAUGGGCUGCAAGCCUGAUGCAGCGACGCCGCGUGAGCGAUGAAGUGCCUUCUGGGUCGUAAAGCUCUGUCCUAAGGGAAGAAUUUUGACGGUACCUUAGGAGUGAAGCCCCGGCUAACUACGUGCCAGCAGCCGCGGUAAUACGUAUGGGGCGAGCGUUGUCCGGAAUAACUGGGCGUACAGGGUGCGUAGGCGUGCUAUCUAGUCAGGGGUUAAAGCCCUCGGCUCUACCGAUGUAAUGCCCUUGAAACUGUUAGGCUUGAGCGCAGGAGAGGAGAGCGGAAUUCCUAAGUGUAGCUGGUUAAUUGCGUAGAGAUUAGGAAGAACAACUAUUGUGCGAUUGCGGCUACUCUGGACUGUAGCUGACGCUUAGGCACCAAACCGUGGGGAGCGAACGUGGAUAAAUACCCUUGUUAGUCAAGCCGUGAACGAUAAGUGCUACGUGACGGGGUACACAGGCUUCGGUGCCGCAGUUAACGCAUUAAGCACUCCGCCUGGGGAGUACGGUCGCAAGACUGAAACUCAAAGGAAUUGACGGGGGGUCCCGCACAAGCAUCGGAGCAUGUGGUUUAAUUCGAAGCAACGCGAAGAACCUUACCAGGACUUGACAUCCCUUGGACCGUUCUAGAGAUAGAACCUCCCUUCGGGGCCAAGGUGACAGCUGGUGCAUGGUUGUCGUCAAGCUCGUGUCGUGAGAUGUUGGGUUAAGUCCCGCAACGAGCGCAACCCUUACCUUUAGUUGCCAGCAGGUUAUGCUGGGCACUCUAGAGGGACUGCCGGUGACAAACCGGAGGAAGCUGGGGAUGACGUCAAAUCAUCAUGCCCCUUAUGUCCUGGGCUACACACGUGCUACAAUGGCCGGUACAACGGGCAGCCAACCCGCAAGGGGGAGCUAAUCCCUUAAAGCCGGUCCCAGUUCGGAUUGCAGGCUGCAACUCGCCUGCAUGAAGUUGGAGUUGCUAGUAAUCGCGAAUCAGAAUGUCGUGGUGAAUGCGUUCCCGGGCAUUGUACACACCGCCCGUCACACCAUGAGAGUUG
rnacentral:rRNA from 1 species